rnacentral:rRNA from 1 species
AGCGAACGCUGGCGGCAGGCUUAACACAUGCAAGUCGAGCGGGCAUCCUUGUGGUGUCAGCGGCAGACGGGUGAGUAACGCGUGGGAACGUGCCCUUCGGUUCGGAAUAACUCAGGGAAACUUGAGCUAAUACCGGAUACGUGCGAGAGCAGAAAGGUUUAUCUGCCGAAGGAUCGGCCCGCGUCUGAUUAGCUAGUUGGUGAGGUUAUGGCUUACCAAGGCGACGAUCAGUAGCUGGUCUGAGAGGAUGAUCAGCCACACUGGGACUGAGACACGGCCCAGACUCCUACGGGAGGCAGCAGUGGGGAAUAUUGGACAAUGGGGGCAACCCUGAUCCAGCCAUGCCGCGUGAGUGAUGACGGCCUUAGGGUUGUAAAGCUCUUUUCUCCGGGACGAUAAUGACGGUACCGGAGGAAUAAGCCCCGGCUAACUUCGUG